rnacentral:rRNA from 1 species
UACGUAGGUGGCAAGCGUUACUCGGAAUCACUAGGCGUAAAGCGCAGGUAGGCGGUUUGGUAAGUCUUUUGUGAAAGCUCCCGGCUCAACUGGGAGAGGUCAAAGGAAACUGCCAAGCUAGAGUGUGGUAGGGGAUACUGGAAUUCCUGGUGUAGCGGUGAAAUGCGUAGAUAUCAGGAGGAACACCGGUGGCGAAGGCGGUUCUCUGGGCCUGUACUGACGCUGAGGAACGAAAGCGUGGGGAGCGAACAGG